AACCGACGAGCACAUGAAAUUCCAGAUACUGAUCAUCACAGAAUCCACGUGUGGCAGAAAGGAUGGAUAAUCUUCUGGCUUGGUUCCAGCCUGGUGGAGCCUGCAUGUGGUUGUUUCAGGCUAAUGUAAAAAAAGGGUACACCAUUUAUUCUGCCAGGGCAUUACGUGUAACGUUUUAUUUAAUUCAUAUAUCUGUGGUAACAAUCCUGUUACCUUCUUUCUAAUUGGCGUGACUGUGCAUAGCAGAUCAUGCCAAGAAAAUCCUUGUUUUUUAAGUCAGAAAUUAACCUGAGAUUUGGUAAACAAAGUUAGGCUCUGGUCACAGAAAUUUGCAGGCGCUAUGUACCACCUUAAGUUAAAUUACUUGAGUGGGUUCUGCAGCAUGUAAGUACCAUGGCAGGUGUAGGCCUAGCUGGUUAGGAUUCUGAAAAACAGCUGAAUGAUAAUACUUAAUCAAAUACGACUGCAGGGGCUGCAGCCUGCCAAGUUAAAAGAUUUCAUUUUAAAACAAGGUAAACCAUUGUGUCUCCUUGAUUAAAGGCAUUAAACUUUAGUAAGAGAUAUGUGGCCUUAUAGUGUUCUUACACAUUGGUUUGCAUUGGAAGGGACCUCAAAGAUCAUCUAAUCCUUGGAAAUACCCCUAUGGGCAGGGAUGCCACCCGCUAGAUCAGGUUGCUCAGGACAUCGUCUAACCUGGCCUUGAACAUUGUCAGGGAUGGGGGGAUGGGGCAUCCACAACUUCUCUGGGCAACCUGUUCCAGUGUUUCACCACCCUCAUGGGAACCAUAAACACUGUACAUGAAUCAUAAAUACAAGUGUUGUGGGCCUGGGAUGGCCCAGUAGAGGAUGAAAUACUGAUACUGUAAACAAAGAUUGGUGUCUUGGAUUUAUCUUCCCAAUCCUAUUUCCCACCCUCCCUAGAUAAGUUUGGUGCACAGGAUGCAAAUUCAAGUCAUGGCAUCAUUGCUUCCUCUCCACGGAGAAGGAUGUUCAAGUUUCACCUGAAGCUACAAAUCAUUGCAGACUUUAGCUGUUUCGUGUUCACACUCUGAUAAGUCUGUCCUGUGCCAGUGUUGGGAGCACAGGUGAAGAUGCUUAGGAUGAGGAAGCAUCAUCCCGACUGGAGAGGAAGGGUCUUUAAUGGCCUGUGAACCUGUCUGGAUUGGAGUGAACUGCCAGGGACUCCGACAGUCUCAAAUACUGCUGCAUUGGGUGGCAACUGGCAGAUUUGGAAGGCUCCAUGUGAGCUUUUCUAUUCAGUCCCCUUCCACAGGGACAGUCAAUUUAACUGUGGAGGUGUGGACUGGAAUUUUUUGGCAGUUACCAUUAUCAGUGAUAAUGAUAAAUUCUCUGUUGGCUGUCCAUUUGUGUCCUGCCUCAGCAAUUGCACUUAGCUUGCAGGACAUUGUGCGCUUGGAGUAACAUGCAAUUAUAGGCAAGAUCAACAUGGAAAAGCAGAAUCCUGAGUCUGAGCUCAACCUGAUCUUGACUUGCUCAGUGGUAUUAGUCAUAGUUUCAAAAAUGUCAAAGGAGCCACAACUGAGCAUUUCUUCUGUUCCCACCUGUGCUUUGGAUUGUGAAAGAAUAACAUUAGUACAUAGAGAUCUUGACUUCCUCUUGGAUGCAUCUGGAAGAUUUUAUUAGGCAGUCCACUGUGCCUGUGAUCUGUCUGAGAGCAGCUGAUGAUGAGCAUUGCCAAGAUAUUGCACUGGGCUGCUGAUAAUUUUGUGUCUUUCAGAUGACUUGAAAAACUGGAUUCAUGGAACAUCACUCUCGCAAACCACAGCCUCACCAUGGGGACAUCGGGGCAGCCACAGCUGUACUAAGUAUCUUCACCAGCAAUCUUUCACCCUCUGACAAAUCUUUUCUUCUUGAAGACCAGAAAGAUUGUUAUUGAGCCUUCCACAAAGCUGAAAUAAUGCUGUGUGUUAAAAAAAUGUUAACAAUUUGAAGAAGUUAUAAAAAUUUAUAAGUUGACUGAAUUGUUUGGAAAUUUCUGCAUAUUUUAAUAUAAAUAGGUGCUGGCAGCAUGUGGAGCCGAGAGCAGUGAAAGCCCAAAGGAGUACUGCACACACUGAAGAGGUCACCAGGAGCUGUUGUGCAGGUUUCUGGAAGAUCUCUCUUUCUCUGGGAGAAGGAGGGCUGCUGUGAGUCUUAUUUCACUGUGAUUAAGUUAUUCCUCCUGGACAGUGUGAAAGACAAAUCGGGGAGUUUUGGAUACCAUCUCUUGAAGAGAAUGAAUCUGGAUUCAAUGCAGCUGGCUGUAGAAAGAAUUACAGAAGUACUGAUUUAAUUGACUCCAUGGAUUUGCAACCAGCAGUUCAGCAGCUGCUUCAUGAGCCAUCCUUGCAGGAGGUGAACGUCAGAGGGAUGAAUUUCUUUAACUGGGAAGAUAUGACAGGUUGUGAUACUGGACUGCAGUGAAGCUCCACCUGUGCUGUUCUACCCUUCAUGAGUGAGCAGUGCUGGGCAGUGCAGCAGGCAUGCUCCUGCCCUUUUCAGGCAUGGAAAACACUUGUCCAGUCAUAACUGAAACUAUUCAAGAUGCACAGGCCUGAAAUGUCACCUUAAGUUUCUGUUACUCUCUGAUGUGGAUCCUGUCUUCCAGCAAACUUUAUGGACAACAGCUUUUGUUACAAGGAGAGAUGGUUUGAUUCUCUCCUUAAUGCAAGCCCCACACCUUCACCUAGAUUCCUUCCUGGGCAGCUGCAGUGGAUCUGAACACCAAGGGAAUUUGGCCCACUGGAUUCCUUUCCUUUCUCUGCAGUUGAAUGAAAAGUGUGUGUCUUUUGAAGAACAGCAACUGAAAGAAAUAUUGAUGACUGCCAGAGCAUCUACAGAAAAGGAUAAGAAAAUUACUACAACAGUGGAGACAAAGGGGCUUUGUUAACUCUUUCUUGUAGGUUGUAUAUAUUAAUAGAAACAAGUAAAGUUUUGUAUUUUUUAAGAGAAACACACAAGGCUUUGAAUUGUAUUGUUUUAGUUGCAGCUAACGGAAUGAAUUAAGUGGAAAAUUGAACACAGUACUUUGAUUGUCUAACUCUCUGUAUGUGAGGCUUUGGGAACAGUUUGUUAUUAUAAAAGAAUAGUACUAACAAGAAAACAGCCAGCAUGUAAUUGCUGGGUUGAGGGGCAGUUUGAGGAAGGCUGAUACUUAUUUAUAAAUUAUUAAAUAAAAGCACAUAAUAAGUGGAUCAUCUCUCACUGCCUCCACACUUGAUACAUUACUCAUCUUCCUAAAUUUCAUCUUUUUGUACACCCUUAGUCCAUUGCUUCUUAUAACCAGUGCAGGCAUCAAAACCACCCACGUCCAGGAAAGGAGAUGCCUGUGCAUUUGUUAUGAUGGCAGUUUUGGUUAUGGGACUCAUCUAAGAAUAUGAACCUUCAGUUCAAGGACAGAAAUUUUGACUGGACUUUUAAAGGUUGUUUUACGUGCCUAAAUACACACGAGCACCUGGGACUCUUUUCAGGUAGCCUAAACUCUGACCAGUGUUUCAACUUGACUAGGUACCUUUUCUGAUUUACAGCCAGCCUCUACCCUAAAUGGAAGGACUGAAGAGCAAUUUGGGCAUUAAAUUUACCAAGGUUCUCAAAAACACAUUGGUUAUGUAAUUCCCAUCAAUUUUGGUAAGAAAGAGGUAACUUCUGAUUAUCUUGUAUUGUUCUCAUUGCUCAUUAGUGCCUUACUGCCUUAGUAAACACAGCCACUUGCAAGACACAGAGAGGAGGUCAGUGGUGGUUGGGCUCACCAAGAAGGUAGAACAGUAUUUCAUCCUCAAUGUUUUUGACUAUUUCAGCCCUCCUGGAGGAUGGAGUUGCCAUUCGUUCCUCUAGCAUAAAUUUGAGGGCUGUCUUCUAGGAAAGCAAGGUGUCUCUGUUUCAGAGGACCCAGUUGCUAACUGGUUGCACUGACACAUAAGCAGUUCCUCACAUGCCUAUGUUACGAGGAGGUGGGUAAUGUCCUGGCCUCACAAAGUGAGGUGCAUGUCCUACAGACAGAGGGAGCAUCGUCUGGGGAUGGAAAGGUGUGCCAGCACCUGGAUAGCUGGCUCUGCUGGACACGUAUUUGAGCUUGCUGUGCUGCUAUAUACUAAGACAUUCGUGCUGUAUAAACAAACCACACUGUUAAACCACUUAAACAGUGUUUAUGCAACUUUAAAAUGGUAGAGGCUUAAUUUUUUACUUCAUCCGCAAGCUUAUUAAAAUUUACGUAUCCACACUGAAAUGGUGUGAAAAGAUUAAAUUGCUAAUCCUGGCUACCAGCCUAGCUGAUGUGAGACUGUUGCACAGAAGGUGCCUGAGAGGUGGAACUGGGCAGAGUUUAUCUUUGCAUAGCUGUUGCCAAAGAGUUGCUUGGUAUCCCUGUCACUGUUUUUUGAAGUCCAAAAAUAUUUUCCCCCAAAUAAUAACCUAUUUUUUCUGCAAGAGAACACAGCUGCAUCUAUGAAAGGUCUUGGCUUUUACAGUAAGUCUGGUUUGUAUAGUUUCCUCUCUAUAUGUAUGUUGUCUGCAGAAUUACCAACAGUCAUAAUGAAAAACACAGUUUUGUUACAGGAGCUUUCAACAGUGGUUUUUAGUAAUUUAGAAAAUAUUGGAGCUACUUCCAACAAAUGAAAAAAAUCGAAGCAGCUUUGAAAAUGUUGAUACACUUAGGGAAAUAAAUCUUUGGUUUUAGCUCUGUUAUUCUCUCUCUGAUACUAAAACCAAUAUAAAGCACUACUGAUUUCAAUCAGCUCAACAGGGGAUACUGUAUGGCUUCCACUCCACUGUUCCCUGGGUUGGGGGGCUAAAUCUCAGCUUUGGCUGGGUUUUAUGGGACAGCCUCUCUUCAACCUUUGUGUGCACUGUGAAAGCUGUCCUCGUUGCACCUCUUUUUCCAGCACAACGUGGGAAAGUUCCUGGAUUAAAUUCUCCUCUAUCAGAAAACUUGUAUGGGAGGCGCUCAAAAUGUAAGGCCUUUCAAUCCCUUGUGAGUUCGCAGCAUUUAAAGAUAAGAUCACAGUAUUGCCAAGAAAUG